CUUCAGCGCGCCCAGCCUCAGCGGCCGUUCGGCAUCCCGGCCCUGGCCGUAGGUGGCGAGGAUGGCCUGGGCCUC
rnacentral:antisense_RNA from 1 species